rnacentral:rRNA from 1 species
GUGGGGGAUAUUGCACAAUGGGGGAAACCCUGAUGCAGCGACGCCGCGUGAGUGAAGGAGUAUUUCGGUAUGUAAAGCUCUAUCAGCAGGGAAGAAAGUGACAGUACCUGACUAAGAAGCCCCGGCUAACUACGUGCCAGCAGCCGCGGUAAUACGUAGGGGGCAAGCGUUAUCCGGAUUUACUGGGUGUAAAGGGAGCGUAGACGGCGAUGUAAGUCUGGAGUGAAAGCCCGCGGCCCAACUGCGGGACUGCUCUGGAAACUGUGUUGCUAGAGUACAGGAGGGGCAGGCGGCAUUCCUGGUGUAGCGGUGAAAUGCGUAGAUAUCAGGAGGAACACCGGCGGCGAAGGCGGCCUGCUGGACUGCAACUGACGUUGAGGCUCGAAAGCGUGGGGAGCAAACAGG